CAAAACUAUGGCUUCCCUACUACUUAUACACACAACUCCAUGAAGAUAUAUGUCUUCUUGACAAAAUACUGAUAUUACUUGCAAUCCAUCAGAAUUAUAUUUCUACAGCUUGUCAAGUAAGGAUACUUGAUGCAUGCCUUGAAAGCUAGUAAAGGCACUAGAUCUGCUGGUAUCAUAAUGGGGGGUUACACUGACGGAAUGAGUGAACAAUGAUGUAGGCCUUCUAACCUAGCAGAUGAGAACUGGAUCCUGACUGAAGAAAGCUUUUGACUUCACCUGUGCUUCCUGCUGGAAAGAUCUAGUUGCUUCACACCAGAGGGUUCAUCUGAGGAGAUGAGGGGGUGGAUGAUAUUGUGAGGACAGGAGGCAAGGUGAUUUCUGGGAAAUUUACCACAGUGUGAAUUUAGAAAACGUGAUCAGUUUCAGAACACAGUACCCCACAGUGGAAAGAGAUGGAUAGGAAACCUACAUUGGACUACACAAGAAAAAAUAAGAUCACAGAAAAUGAAAUUCAUUUCUCAUGUUAAAUGGAUUAUGAGGAGUUGCGCAUAGGUCUUGAAGAGUAAGAAACACAGAUUUUGUACAUAUUUUGUUCACAUUGGUCUUCGAAGUUAAACAAAGCAGUCCAGACAACAGGUAGGCAUUAUGUAAUUCCAAAUAUUAUUUCUAGAUGUUUACAGGGAAAUAAAAUUCAGCCAAGACAUCA
rnacentral:lncRNA from 1 species